CCAUCCAGGGCAUAUGGAGUUCCUGGGCCAGUAUCAGAUUCAAGCAACAGUUAUGACCCACACCCCAUCUGUGGCAACGCUGGAUUCUUAACCCACUGUACUGGCUGGGAUUGAACCUGCGUCCCAAUGCUGCAGAGACCUGCAGGAUCCCACUGCACCACAGCGGGAACUCCUAGAAUUAAAUUCUUUAACAGCAAGGACCACAUCUUACUUACCUUCACAUCUUUAUUAGGCAGUGAGGUCCCCACCACUGAAACGGUGCCCAAUAAAUACAGUUCCCAGGCUAGGGGUUGAAUUGGAACUGCAGCUACAGGCCUAUGCCACAGCCACAGCAACACUGGAUCUGAGCCACAUCUGGGACCUAUGCCACAUCUUGUGGCAAUGCCAGAUCCUUAAUCUACUGAGUGAGGACAGAGAUUGAAUCUGCAUCCUCACAGAUGCUAUGUCGGGUUCUUGACCCUAAUCCACUGAGCCACAACAGGACCUCAGGUAAACACUCAGAGUAAGGAGGUUCAUGUUGGACAAUCUUUAGAAAUAGCUGAAUUAGGAUGACAUGAAACAAACACAGCCUCCCACACUAACCAAGCCCUGCAUCUUGAGGGAGGGGAUCUGCCCUCUGUGGGCUGGAAGCGCCCUCUCCAACAGAGAGAAGGGUGGUGAGGUUGCCACAGCACACUCAGAUGCUGUUUUCACAAAAUGCUGCUAUAUAAGCUCUGGGAUCCACCAAUGAAAGUAAGUUUCUGUCUUGAAAGAGCUCAGUCUAUUACCAGAUAAAGAUGGAUGAAUGAAAUUGCCAAAUCUAAGAGGAUAAAGAGUCAGGAAGAGCCAUUCAAGAGCAAAAUCUCCUCCUGGAUCCUUAAUGUCUUCCUAUCACCUCCUCAAAAACCUGCUUCCACUGAUCAGCCCAGAAGUUUCUGAAUUUUUUAAAAUUUUCUCUAUUUAGUGACUUUCCCCUAAAUUCUCUAGAUGAUUCUUUCAAACCGAGAGAAAAAUAACAUCUCUUUUAACUUCAAGUUGCCCUCUGGCUACUGUCAAAUCUCUCAUCUUUCUCGUCCAAACUCCUUGAAAGAGUAAUAUACUCAAUAGUCGGUAAUAACCUAUAUGGGGAAAAAAAGAAUGAAUAUAUGUAUAUGUAUAACUGAAUCAUUUUGCUAUACACUUGAAACUAAUACAACAUUGUAAGUCAACUAUACUCCAAUAAAAUUCAUUCAACAAAUAUGUAUUGAGCAUGUAAUGUAAUGGGAAUAGAGUAUAUCUAUGGAGGGAACAGAAUAGGAUUCAAAAAUAAAGAGGGUAAGCCUUAUUGAUAAGGCGAUGAUAAGGCAAAAACAUAAAAAAAGGAGGAUCAGAGAACAGUCUGAAAUCCAUGCAUUUGCGCUGGCACCAUUCCCAUUCCUAUUCCACCAUCCAGUCCCAAAAGCUAAGAAGGAAAAAAAGUGAAGUGAUCCAAAGACAGAAUGAAAUCCCAAGAGACUGGUGAGAGAAUGAUUCCUGUGAUGGACUAUGGAGUUGGAAAAUAAAGUAACUGAUGCCAAAAAAAGUGAAAAGUAGAAAACUUUUCUUGAUUCCGUAAGAUCUCCCUAAAAGCUAGUCGCCCCCUCUUGUGCUUCCAUAGUAAGUUCCACAUACGUCAAUCCAUAAUCCAUAGAUUAUGUUCAUACGUAAGAACAUUUGAUUCUCCUUUGGAUAUCCCCCACAGCUUUACCCAAUGGCUGAUCAAGAGUACGCACUUAGUAGUCACAUAAUGCAUUCACUGACCUAAAUAAUUAAUUAAAUAAUAUAUUAUUCAUGUUUUGCUACCUUUAUAAUUAUUUAUCUCUUUCCAUGUAUAUGAUCUAUCUUCACUGUAUUAUGUAGGGAAAGCACAGGAUUCAUGCCUG
rnacentral:lncRNA from 1 species